UCGGUGCCAGGUACUUUUUGGGCUGACAGCAGCCUCUGCCCUCGGUUCCCUAGUGAGUGGUGAGGCUUGGGGCAGCCGGUGAGUCUGGGUUGAGUUCCGCGUUGCGUUACCGGCUGAGUUUCUUUAAGCGAGUGCCUCAGUCAUGUUUUCUUCCCUCUGUGAAAGGCAGAUAAUGCCAGCUCAUCCCCUGGUGUUAACAGGACUUGAUUUAGAUGUAAAACAGUGAGAUUUUGGAGGCUUCUGGUAUAAGUGCAGAUUGCACUGUCAAACGUGUGCUCUUCCAGUUAAAAACUGGAUUAUUUUACAUUUAUGCUCUUUGUGUUCUUUUUUUGAAGAAGCAGCUUUGUUGUUACGACUCUGCUGAUAAUGUUUGACUCCCACCUUGCUUUGUUAGGUCCUGAACUCUGAAGCUUCAUAUUUUUAUAAACUGCUGCGUUAUAGGAGCUGGGAGGUUUAUCGUCCCGUGUGUCUUCGCAUGCGCGCGACAGCUGAAGAUCUAAUUUCAUGUUGGGUUUUGCCAAACUGAUCAGGGUUACGCUUAGUUCAGGCUGACUGCCUUGCACCUCCCCUGGUUGUUAAGAGGGGUUUUCGCAGGAAGGGAGCGAACGCGAAGGGCCUGAUCCUAACAGGUUUGAUGUGUUACAGAUGGACCGAAAGCUGCCAGCUUUUCGGCGAUGACCUCAGCAGCAAGCGCUCUAAAACCUCUUCCGUGCGCAGGGCUCACCGUGCCACAGAUUCUCUUUUUUUUUUUUUUUUUUUUUUUUUAAACAAAAUGCUGCUUACCUUGCAAGACGAGAGAAUCCUGGACAGCUGUCCAGUGGCGUUUCCAGGGAACCGGUCUGUCCUUAACACCGCUUCGCCCCUGCGUCGAAGAAGAAUGGCUGUAACGGCAGUUGAGCUGCAGUCGAGCUCCUCUCUGCUGGACUGGCUCUGAGCCCGGCUCCAGGCAAAGCUUGUAGGGGGGCUCAGGCGGGCGAGCUGCUCCCCUCGGCUGGGGAGGCGAAGCGCAGACGAGCUCCCUGCCCGGUACUGAUCCACUCGGAGGUUUCAAAGGUCCCCGAAUGCUGUCGGGCCGUGUCUGCCAGGAGGUUUGCACGUGAGAGCUGGGCUGAGCCUUUACGAGGAGACGUGCCGUGCUUAAUGGCCUCCUGAAGCGGGGACUGGGGGGUAACCUGGUUUGUGUUGAGACUCAUUUUCGUGGAAAAAGAGGAUGGAAUAAAGUAGGAAGUUAGUGGAGCCACAGGGGGUGGGGGAGUGGAUCGCUACAGUACCUUUAGGGUUUUUUUAAGUUCUAUUUGUUAAAGCACUUGCAGAUAAAUCAAAUUAUUUAUGCCUGGGAGUUAAACGUAAGCAGUUUGAGGUAAGUAGAUGGAGGGCAAACCCUGUGGGUAACGGCCGCCACUGCGUAACAGCCAUCGCGCUGCAUCCGACGCGGGAUGUUUGCUGAUUGUUUUUCACGUGAGCAGGUGCUGAGAACCACGUUUCACGGCACUUGUGAAGCGUGGGACGCAUGCCUGCGGGUGUCCUGUCCCAGGAGGGAAAAAAAAAAAAAUUCACAAGUGGCAUGGAUACGGAGAGGGAAUGGGCACCGAAACGGCUGGAAAGUGGUGCCUGGGAUGAACGAGGAGGGCUCCGGGUUCGGCGCUGCUCUUCCCAGCUGGCGAGAGCCUGAUUAACUCGUUACCUCUCGCCGCCGGGCUG